UCGCUGAAUGAGAUGUUGAUUCAGACACCGCCACUACUCCCCAGCACAGGUACAGUUGAAGUUCUUAGUAAACUUUGUAACUGACGUUUCUUCACCUGAAUAAGAUCAACAGCAGCGCGAAUUGCUGCUAGUCGAUCUUUUAGAAUCAACACAAUCAGACCUCCAACGGAUAUGCCAGCUCGGCUCCUCCACGUUAGUGACGGACUGGUCAAACUUUUCGGCUGCUUACGGCAAGUGCUGCAUGAUCAAACCGCUGAACAGCGAGUUCUCAGCCAUGUGUAAUGCGUGCAGUUACGUCGUUCCGGCUUGAAGACGACAACAACGAACUGGUUCUAGCCUCAUAACUACAGGCGGCCAAAUGUUUUAGGUUUUGAACGAGGGGGACGUCACUCUGCGAUAACACACUAAAACGCACAAAAACGAGCUCGAAAAGCAUCAACGCUACUCAUCGUGCCGAGUUUUCACAUAACGCCACCUAAAAGCAAGUUAUCGCAAGUUAACGCGCGUUAAAGCGAGUUAAAGCGGUCAGCGUCUGCUCGACUUUUGAACAAAGCGAAAACGAUCUUGCAUCCCUGCUGUCAUAGCUCGAGCAGUUUUUCGAUCAAGUUUGGCAACUCGGUAUUUGUUUUGAUAAGUUUUCAAGCAGUUUCCGCAGAAAGAAAACAAAAACAAAGCAGGUCACGAUUUUUUUUGGUCAAAGGUCGGAAAACUAAACUCCGAUGGGAUGACCGGCGCCGGUUUUGCUUCAACGAGACAAGCAGCAACUGGACCCGAAAGUGACCCGCAAGCUGCAACUUGGGGGAGAAAAAGUUCAAGUAUCUUUGCAAUCAAUCGAUGGAAAGCACCACAUCUGGGCAUUUUGGUGCGACUCCCCGGGAAGUGUAUUUUCUAACCAAUUCCAACAAUGAGCUGCGAGAGAAGAACCGUGAGUUUAAGGCGGCGGCUGUAGGGAGAAGUGUCCAACGAAACCGACGGCACAGUGGACGGUGCCGUUUGGUGUUUUUUCCGGGUGUUUAAGCAAACUAGCUCCCAAAAAAUGACACCGACGAGCGGCUUAGCGUGUGGCUUGUCUGGACCACAACAUAGACGAGUUCUGCUGUAACCUAUAAGGGAAACCGGUGCCGUUGGAGUGGACAGGUCAAUUCAGGAAAAUGGAAAAUGCGCCACAGUUUGACACAUUUGGCGAGAAGAAGAGUAAUAAAGUUCUAGGUGGAGUUUCGGA